GAUGAACGCUAGCUACAGGCUUAACACAUGCAAGUCGAGGGGUCUUUUGGAGCUUGCUUUAAAAGACGACCGGCGCACGGGUGAGUAACGCGUAUCCAACCUGCCCUUCAUAUUGGGAUAGCCUUCCGAAAGGAAGAUUAAUACCGAAUAACAUGAGAUAGUUGCCUUAUUUUCUCAUGAAAGCUCCGGCGAUGAAGGAUGGGGAUGCGUUCCAUUAGGUAGUAGGCGGGGUAACGGCCCACCUAGGCGACGAUGGAUAGGGGUUCUGAGAGGAAGGUCCCCCACACUGGAACUGAGACACGGUCCAGACUCCUACGGGAGGCGGCAGUGAGGAAUAUUGGUCAAUGGGCGCAAGCCUGAACCAGCCAAGCAGCGUGAAGGAUGACUGCCCUAUGGGUUGUAAACUUCUUUUAUACGGGAACAAACCUUGGUACGCGUACCAAAUUGCGUGUACCGUAUGAAUAAGCAUCGGCUAACUACGUGCCAGCCGCCGCCGUAAAAC
rnacentral:rRNA from 1 species